GCAACAAUGGCGAAGAUCCCGUCCUCCGCCGCCGUACUCAUCCUCGUCGCCGCCGUCGCCCUCCUCCUCCCAUCGCUGAUCGACGCUCGCCACGUCACGGCGGCGCAGAGCCGGUUCAUCGUGCGGGGCCGUGUCUAUUGUGACACGUGUCUCGCCGGAUUCGAGACUCCCGCCUCUACAUACCUCGCCGGUGCAAAGGUGAGGGUGGAGUGCCGAUUGAGGGCGAAUGGCGCCAAGACCUGCAGCUUCGAUGGUGAGACAGACGGUACCGGAACCUACAACAUUCCGGUGAGGGGUGAGCACGAGUUUGAGAUGUGUGAGUCCGUGCUGGUGAGCAGCCCGGACAGCAGGUGCUCGGCAGCGGUACAAAACUUGGACAGGGCCCCGGUUUUCCUCACCAGCAACAAUGGGAUUGCUUCGGAUGUGAGGUUUGCUAACUCUCUGGGAUUCAAGAGGGAUGCUCAGCUGGCGGCGUGCACUGAGGUGAUGAAGCAGUAUGAGCUGGAGGUGUAGAAUUGUUGUUCAGUAUGUGUUUGAUGUGUUAUUAGCGAUGUUGAGAUUGUUGGGUAUGUGGUCACUUUGUGUGGCGGGUAAUUGCAAUGACAUUAGAUUUAUCUGAACUAAGUUUGAGUGAUUGGU
rnacentral:misc_RNA from 1 species